rnacentral:rRNA from 1 species
UACGUAGGUGGCGAGCGUUGUCCGGAUUUACUGGGCGUAAAGAGCGCGCAGGCGGCUGGUCAAGUCCGAUGUGAAAGCUCCCGGCUUAACUGGGAAAUUGCAUCGGAAACUGAUCGGCUGGAAGGUGGGAGAGGGUAGCGGAAUUCCCGGUGUAGUGGUGAAAUUCGUAGAUAUUGGGAAGAACACCGGUGGCGAAGGCGGCUAUCUGGCCCGUAAUUGACGCUGAGGCGCGAAAGCGUGGGGAGCAAACAGG